ensembl:lncRNA
AUGUAUGACUAUUAUAAAUUAAUAAAUGUAGAUAAAAUAUUAUUAUUUAAACAAAUUAAAGAUUAUGAAUCUAAUAAAAAAUUAGAUCUUAUGCAUCAAAAUAUUAUUAAAUUUGUUCAUGGUAUAUCAGGUUUAUUAGAAAAUAUAGAUUUUUAUUUUUAUACACCUUAUUUAGGAGAUUUAAAUUUAUCAGAUACUGAAUCAUUAGUUUUUUUUUCUUACUUAAGGGAUGUUACUUCAUCUAGUGAUAAAUUAUUUUACAAUUUAGAGUAUGAUAAUGAUACAUUUUUGUAUAAUCACUAUACUAACGAGCGGAGUAAUGAGCGGAGUAAUGAGCGGAGUAAUGAGCGGAGUAAUGAGCGGAGUAAUGAGCGGAGUAACGAGCGGAGUAACGAGCGGAGUAAUGAGCGGAGUAAUGAGCGGAGUAACGAGCGGAGUAAUGAGCGGAGUAAUGAGCGGAGUAAUGAGCGGAGUAAUGAGCGUGUACGUAGUGAAGGUAUGCGUAGUGAAAGUAUGCGUGACGAUACAUUAGUAAACAGUGCAAAAACAAACUUACAAGAUAACAUACCACUUAACGCACAUAAUAGUGAUGACCUAGUAUUUUUACUUCUGAAAUCAAAAGCAAUUAACGAUGUAAAUCGAGCUAUUGAACUAGCCACGAAUGUAUAUAAAAAAAAAAACGUAAGUUUAUAUUGGGGAAACACAUACGAUGUUGCAGAUUAUGAAAUAAGAAAUGAUCCAUUAGUAAAUAAAAGUGGGAAUACUAAAAAUGUAUUUAACAAAAGUAACAAUAAAUUAGACAAAUUCCGUAUUCCGUUAAACGAAUUCGGUGCAUCUCUAUUUUUAUGUGACGUAAAUAAUUCAACUAAAAUUUUAACUAGUAACAUAGAUAAGUUACAAAAAUUAAAAGAACACGAUUUAUGUUAUGUACAUAAUGCAUUAACCUAUACCUGUCUUAAAUUUUUAAAUGAUAGUGGUAAUGAAGAGGAAGAUGUAGAUGAUUUAUUAAAAAAAUAUGAAAAAAAAGAAAAAGUAGAAACAACAAAUAAUAUUAUGACAUUACAGAUAAUGAUUAUUAUUGGAGAAAUGUUUAGAAGUAUAAGAAAAAUGAGAAAAAAUGAAAAAUAUAAUUUAAAAAAAAUAUUACAAACAAAUGUUUUAUCUGAUAUUUAUAAUGAUGUUAGUAUAUAUGAUGAAUAUAUGGAUAUGAACAAUAUUGAUUCUAUUUUUAAAAAAAUAAAAAUAAAAUAUCCUUUAAAUAAUAACAUACUAUUAAAUAAAACAAAUAGAGAAGAAAUAGCUUCUUAUUUUUUAAAUUAUUAUAUUAAAUAUUUAUUUCAUUUUGAUUUUCCAAAUAAUGUUACUAUUAAAUUUGUUAAAAAUAUAUCAGGUUUAACUUUUUAUGAUUAUAAUUUUGACUAUAUAAAAAAUGAUAAUAUUAUAUAUAUCAAUGAAGAUAUAAACAAUUCGUUACUGUUGUCUAGACUUAUACUAGACGAGUGUUUAAAUAUAUAUGAACAAUAUACUACAUAUGUACAUAAAUAUGGUGGGAAUACAGAUAACAAUACUAUAAAAGAAUCUAAAAGGAAAGCUAAAGAAAUUGUAAAAAACGAUCAGGUUUAUGAUGAAAGUUUAAACGAGUUAAAUCAGGAAAGUAAAGACGUAAUGGAUAAUAAUACUGUUGAACAUAUGGACAAUUAUUCAGAAGAAAAUAUAAAUAGUAAUUACGUAAGUUUAGGAAACGUGCGAGAAGUGGCAACUGUUGGUGGUGGUGGAAAAGUGGAAACUGUUGGGGGUGGCGAAGAAGUGGUGGAUGACAACGUUACAGAUGACAACGUUACAGAUGACNNNNNNNNNNCGUUACAGAUGACAACGUUACAGAUGACAACGUUACAGAUGACGACGAAAAUGUAG